GACGAACGCUGGCGGCGUGCUUAACACAUGCAAGUCGAACGGAAAGGCCCUGCUUUUGUGGGGUGCUCGAGUGGCGAACGGGUGAGUAACACGUGAGUAACCUGCCCUUGACUUUGGGAUAACUUCAGGAAACUGGGGCUAAUACCGGAUAGGAGCUCCUGCUGCAUGGUGGGGGUUGGAAAGUUUCGGCGGUUGGGGAUGGACUCGCGGCUUAUCAGCUUGUCGGUGGGGUAGUGGCUUACCAAGGCUUUGACGGGUAGCCGGCCUGAGAGGGUGACCGGCCACAUUGGGACUGAGAUACGGCCCAGACUCCUACGGGAGGCAGCAGUGGGGAAUAUUGCACAAUGGGCGGAAGCCUGAUGCAGCAACGCCGCGUGCGGGAUGACGGCCUUCGGGUUGUAAACCGCUUUCGCCUGUGACGAAGCAUGAGUGACGGUAAUGGGUAAAGAAGCACCGGCUAACUACGUG
rnacentral:rRNA from 1 species